UGGGGAAUAUUGCACAAUGGGCGCAAGCCUGAUGCAGCGACGCCGCGUGGGGGAUGACGGCCUUCGGGUUGUAAACUCCUUUCGCCAGGGACGAAGCGUUUUGUGACGGUACCUGGAGAAGAAGCACCGGCUAACUACGUGCCAGCAGCCGCGGUAAUACGUAGGGUGCAAGCGUUGUCCGGAAUUACUGGGCGUAAAGAGCUCGUAGGUGGUUUGUCACGCCGUCUGUGAAAUUCCACAGCUUAACUGUGGGCGUGCAGGCGAUACGGGCUGACUUGAGUACUGUAGGGGUAACUGGAAUUCCUGGUGUAGCGGUGAAAUGCGCAGAUAUCAGGAGGAACACCGAUGGCGAAGGCAGGUUACUGGGCAGUUACUGACGCUGAGGAGCGAAAGCAUGGGUAGCAAACAGGAUUAGAUACCCUGGUAGUCCAUGCCGUAAACGGUGGGCGCUAGGUGUAGGGACCUUUUGGGGUUUCUGUGCCGUAGCUAACGCAUUAAGCGCCCCGCCUGGGGAGUACGGCCGCAAGGCUA
rnacentral:rRNA from 1 species